rnacentral:lncRNA from 1 species
UUUUUGAGUUUUUUUUUAGAUUUUUUUAGAGUUGUUUCCUCAAAGAGACGCGUUAUGUAGGCUUUCCUUGAGAGGAAGAACCUUUCCUUUAUCACCCAUGAAUUAUGCGGACAAACGAUGUUGUACAUGUUGUUCAACAAUCAAUUGGUGCCUUGUAACCCAAGGUAAUCUUGCAAUAGUUGGAAACUAGGUAAGGCUUCAAG